UACAGAGGUCUCAAGCGUUGUUCGGAUUCAUUGGGCGUAAAGGGUGCGUAGGCGGCGCGGUAAGUCGGGUGUGAAAUCUCGGGGCUUAACUCCGAAACUGCAUUCGAUACUACCGUGCUUGAGGACUGGAGAGGAGACUGGAAUUUACGGUGUAGCGGUGAAAUGCGUAGAGAUCCGGAGGAACCCCAGAGGCGAAGGCGGCGUCCUGGCUCGCAUCUGACGCUCAGACACGACAGCAUGGGGAGCGAACGGG
rnacentral:rRNA from 1 species